rnacentral:lncRNA from 1 species
CUGAGUGUUCACAGUCUCUUGGUGCCUUUGUGUGGAGCUCAUAUCACAGACCAUUGCCAUCCCCGGAGUUGCUGCACCCAGAGCCCCAGCCUGGGGCUGAUGGGAAGGACCCUAGUCACCUGGGGUGUUUCCCAGAUGUGAUAUUUUAAAGGCUGCUGAGUAUGAGCCCUCCGUGGCUGGGCCCUGGCCAGCCCUCAUCCUGUCCGCAGGCUCAGCACAGAGACGCUUGUUUUCGUGUGACGUCAGCUCCUCCGUAUCCAUGCCGCGUUUUAGUGUGUGCCUCAGCUGCCGGCUGUAGCUUCCCAGGGGAGCCGGGUACCACCCGGGCCUGGAGACAUGAGGAGGCAGAGAUGUGAGAGGCGGGGAGCAGGACAGUCAACCUUCUAUUAGAUGCCUGCUCUCCAGCAGUAACCCACCCUGCCUAUUGUCGAUCCGGAGACCCACCCAGCCCAUUGUCGGUCCGGAGGCCAGGGGACGCAGCAUCGGCUCCUUAAAGGGACGGAAGAUGCCUCCUUGCGCGCCCACCUUCGGUAGAGCAUAAAGAAUUCCGUGCUGAAGAGGCAGCAGAGAAAGCCGAGUCCAUCUACCGCCGUGGAGCCAGAAGAUGGAGGAAGCUAUACCGAGCCAACGGCCACCUCUUCCAAGCCAAGCGCUUUAACAGGAGAGCGUACUGUGGCCAGUGCAGCGAAAGGAUAUGGGGCCUCGCGAGGCAGGGGUACAGGUGCAUCAACUGCAAGCUGCUUGUCCAUAAACGCUGCCACGUCCUCGUCCCGCUGACCUGCAGGAGGCAUAUGGAUUCUGUCAUGCCUUCCCAAGAGCCUCCAGUAGAUGACAAGAACGAUGGUGUAGACCUUCCUUCAGAAGAAACUGAUGGAAUUGCUUAUAUUUCUUCAUCUCGGAAACAUGACAAUAUCAAAGAUGAUUCUGAGGACCUUAAGCCUGUCAUCGAUGGGGUGGAUGGGAUCAAAAUCUCUCAGGGGCUGGGGCUGCAAGACUUUGACCUCAUCAGAGUCAUCGGGCGUGGAAGCUAUGCCAAGGUCCUCCUGGUGCGGUUGAAGAAAA